GAUCCUGGCUCAAGAUGAACGCUAGCUACAGGCUUAACACAUGCAAGUCGAGGGGCAGCAUGGUCUUAGCUUGCUAAGGCUGAUGGCGACCGGCGCACGGGUGAGUAACACGUAUCCAACCUGCCGUCUACUCUUGGCCAGCCUUCUGAAAGGAAGAUUAAUCCAGGAUGGGAUCAUGAGUUCACAUGCCCGCACGAUUAAAGGUAUUUUCCGGUAGACGAUGGGGAUGCG
rnacentral:rRNA from 1 species